GAGGUCGUACCAAAAACGCAACACGUAAAAAAGCUUAUGAAAAAUUCAUAGUAUGUCACAAUAGUUGCAUGGCCGUUCUUAGUUGGUGGAGCGAUUUGUCUGGCUAAUUCCGAUAACGAACGAGACUCAGGCCUACUAACUAGCGGCGGUGCUCAUGUCUCCUGAAUGGCCGUGGAUGGUUGUGCACUCGUCGUAGCAACCACUGCGCGCUCUUUGGAGCAGUAGCGCCGGCAGCCACUUCUUAGUGGAACCAGCGACACUUUCGUAAGUCACACGAGAAACAGCAAUAACAGGUCUGUGAUGCCCUUAGAUGUACGGGGCUGCAUGCGUGCUA
rnacentral:ncRNA from 1 species